AUAGCAAGUAUCUUUGUUUUCUUAUUUCAAGUUCGUGAUAGCAGCAGCAAAUAUCUUUUGCUUAAAUUCAUCAAUAGUACCAGCAAGUAUUUUAUUCCUUCUUUCAAAUUUACAUAGUAGCAGCAAUUGAUUCUCUUCCUCUUCAAAUUAAUGAAGUACUACAGAAACCUUGUUCCUGCUUUGAAUUUCAACGUAGUGCGGUAGCAUGAAAAUUUCCUCAAAUUAUAUCAAAGUCCAUCCAAGAUCAAGUAUAGCUUUAUUCCUUCAUCGAUUUCAUGAUUAUAACUUUGGUCCCCUCUGAAUCUUAGCAAUUUUGGGAUUUAUUUUGUGUUGAAGCUGAAGCUUUUUUUUUCUAGGUGAAGCAUCUUAAGAUUAAGGCUGUCUUGUGUGAUUGAGGGUUGGCACACUAGUUACAAUGAGUUCGCUAUUGGAUCGUAUUGGCAACACAAGAAAGUCUGCCAUCUGAAAUUGUUUUCCAGAUAGCUAUGGACAACAACUUCAACAAUGUUGCAGUGGCGAACCAGGAGUUACCAAAGGAAGAGGUGCUACAGGAGGGCGUAGAAGUAGUUGUCAACGAAUUACCACAACCACGCCACUCAGUUUGGAGGAGGCGGAAAGGAGGAUUAAAAGGAAAUGAAAAGGAGAAGACUCAGCUGUCAAUGGCAGCUAAAAGCGGAGCUGCAGCUUUCAGUAAAGAAGUAAAGGAGACACAUAAAGGAACAGAGGAGAACAAGGAAGAAAACUAAGAGGAGGAUGUCAUCGAUAGAGGCAACGUGAACAACAAAAGCUAUCUUAUCGUGGGCCUGAAGGAAAGUCGGCCUUCGGGCCCGUAACUUGUGUUGUCUUGUGGAUUUGUAAUUGGCUGCUUUGCAAUCUGAUUCCUGACUUGCCCACAGUUCAAAUCAACAAACAAAUUAAUAGGCUCUUGCAUAGGUGGCUCAAGGGUGAGGCCACUAAAGCAUCUGCUUUAGGCCCUCAUGAGUCAAAGGCCCCAAAAAAAUUAUUGUUAUCAUAUAUAUUACUCAUGUGUACGUAUUUAUAGUAUAUAGCUUUGUAUGCAAAAAAAUAAUCAGUAUCACAUGUCUUAUUAUAUAAGUGGAAGAGGAUCUUUCAAGUUAAUAAAAUGUUAGUC